rnacentral:rRNA from 1 species
UACAGAGGGGGCAAGCGUUGUUCGGAAUUACUGGGCGUAAAGCGCACGUAGGCGGACUAUUAAGUCAGGGGUGAAAUCCCGGGGCUCAACCCCGGAACUGCCUUUGAUACUGGUAGUCUCGAGUCCGGAAGAGGUGAGUGGAAUUCCGAGUGUAGAGGUGAAAUUCGUAGAUAUUCGGAGGAACACCAGUGGCGAAGGCGGCUCACUGGUCCGGUACUGACGCUGAGGUGCGAAAGCGUGGGGAGCAAACAGG